rnacentral:misc_RNA from 1 species
AACCUAGCACACCUGCGGUGUGUACCUGCGGAGGGAUCAUUACACAACAAAAUAUGAAGGUCUGGCUUCGCGGCCGGCUGAAGUAUUUUUUUUCACCCAUGUCUUUUGCGCACUUGUUGUUUCCUGGGCGGGUUCGCCCGCCACCAGGACCAAACCAUAAACCUUUUUUUUAUGUAGUUGCAAUCAGCGUCAGUAAAAACAAUGUAAUUAUUACAACUUUUAACAAUGGAUCUCAGAUCG